GACGAACGCUGGCGGCGUGCUUAACACAUGCAAGUCGAACGGUAAGGCCCUUCGGGGUACACGAGUGGCGAACGGGUGAGUAACACGUGGGUGAUCUGCCCUGCACUUCGGGAUAAGACUGGGAAACUGGGUCUAAUACCGGAUAGGACUCCGGACUGCAUGGUCUGGGGUGGAAAGCUUUUGCGGUGUGGGAUGGGCCCGCGGCCUAUCAGCUUGUUGGUGGGGUGAUGGCCGACCAAGGCGACGACGGGUAGCCGGCCUGAGAGGGUGACCGGCCACACUGGGACUGAGAUACGGCCCAGACUCCUACGGGAGGCGGCAGUGGGGAAUAUUGCACAAUGGGCGCAGGCCUGAUGCAGCGACGCCGCGUGAGGGAUGACGGCCUUCGGGUUGUAAACCUCUUUCAGCAUCGACGAAGCGAAAGUGACGGUAGGUGCAGAAGGAGGACCGGCCAACUACGUGCCAGCCGCCGCGGUAA
rnacentral:rRNA from 1 species